rnacentral:rRNA from 1 species
AUGGGAAUGAGCGCUGGCGUGGACGACGGGGACACGCGCGUUAGGUCCUCGGCAUGUUUGGGCCGCCGGAGAGCAACAACAUGUUCCGGCCGCUCGAGCAGCAGCCAUGGGACGUUGUGGAGCUCCAUGCCUCGUCGGCCUUGCUCUGCGCCUCGCCGGAAUUGUGCCGCCAAGGAUCCAAGGCCCGCACACGUCAGAGCCAGCCCGCCAUGGACGGCCGUGACUCACGUGCUUCCCACUGGUGGGCGCACGCAGGGUGCUCGACUAAAUGUCGAGGCCGCUCCAGAGCUUGCGGAGCUACGCGACAGAUGGUCUGCGGAGAAACCCUUGUGCGCGUGUGCUCGGCCUCCUCGGAGCUGCGGAAGACGACGACGUAGACGAGGCUAG